rnacentral:misc_RNA from 1 species
UCGCAAUUCAGCUUAGAAAGUUUGGACAGAGAAGGGAAGCUCAUGGAGUUGGGUUCGAGGAACUUCUUCCUUUGCUCCAAAAAGUCGGUGGUUGACAGUGGAAAUGAGAUAGGAAGUUCUUCAAGCGGCAGCGGCGUAACGACAACGUCGUCGCCUUCAUCUUGCUCAAAAGAAGUUGAAAAAGCUGCUAAAAGUGUCUUUCCUUGGUUAAAAUUCAUGGAUUUCAUGCUGUAACUAGCAGC